rnacentral:rRNA from 1 species
CCUGGCGGCUUUAGCGCGGUGGUCCCACCUGACCCCAUGCCGAACUCAGAAGUGAAACGCCGUAGCGCCGAUGGUAGUGUGGGGCCUCCCCAUGCGAGAGUAGGGAACUGCCA